rnacentral:tRNA from 1 species
UCCCUGGUGGUCUAGUGGUUAGGAGACAGCGCUUUCACUGCUCAGGCCCAGGUUCAAUCCCUGGUCUGGGAA